rnacentral:rRNA from 1 species
AGCAGCAGCCGCGGUAAUACGUAGGUCCCGAGCGUUGUCCGGAUUUAUUGGGCGUAAAGCGAGCGCAGGCGGUUAGAUAAGUCUGAAGUUAAAGGCUGUGGCUUAACCAUAGCACGCUUUGGAAACUGUUUAACUUGAGUGCAAGAGGGGAGAGUGGAAUUCCAUGUGUAGCGGUGAAAUGCGUAGAUAUAUGGAGGAACACCGGUGGCGAAAGCGGCUCUCUGGCUUGUAACUGACGCUGAGGCUCGAAAGCGUGGGGAGCAAACAGGAUUAGAUACCCCCGUAGUCCCUGUCUCUUAUACA